UACGUAGGGACCAAGCGUUGUCCGGAAUCAUUGGGCGUAAAGAGCGUGUAGGCGGCUUGUUAAGUCUUGCGUGAAAUCUCGGGGCUCAACCCCGAGCGGUCGUGAGAAAAUGGCAGGCUAGAGUGCGGGAGAGGAGAGUGGAAUUCCUGGUGUAGCGGUGAAAUGCGCAGAUAUCAGGAAGAACACCCGUGGCGAAGGCGGCUCUCUGGAACGCAACUGACGCUGAGACGCGAAAGCGUGGGGAGCAAACAGG
rnacentral:rRNA from 1 species